ACUGCUCAGUAACACRUGGACAACGUGCCCUUAAGUGGAGGAUAAUCUCGGGAAAUUGAGGAUAAUACUCCAUAGAUCAUGACACCUGGAAUGAGUCAUGGUUCAAAGUUCCGGCGCUUAAGGAUCGGUCUGCGGCCUAUCAGGUAGUAGUGGGUGUAAUGUACCUACUAGCCUAUGACGGGUAUGGRCCUUGAGAGAGGGAGCCCAGAGUUGGAUUCUGAGACMCGAAUCCAGGCCCUACGGGGCGCAGCAGUCGCGAAAACUUCACAAUGGGCGCAAGCCCGAUGAGGGAACUCCUAGUGCUAGCACUUUUUGUGUUAGCUUUUCUUCAGCGUAGAUAACUGAAGGAAUAAGGGCUGGGUAAGACGGGUGCCAGCCGCCGCGGUAAUACCUGCAGCCCAAGUGGUGGUCGAUUUUAUUGAGUCUAAAACGUUCGUAGCCGGUCUGGUAAAUCCUUGGGUAAAUCGGAAAGCUUAACUUUCCGAAUUCCGAGGAGACUGCCAGACUUGGGACCGGGAGAGGCUAGAGGUACUUCUGGGGUAGGGGUAAAAUCCUGUAAUCCUAGAAGGACCACCGGUGGCGAAGGCGUCUAGCUAGAACGGAUCCGACGGUGAGGGACGAAGCCCUGGG
rnacentral:rRNA from 1 species